rnacentral:rRNA from 1 species
CCUACGGGUGGCAGCAGUGAGGAAUAUUGGUCAAUGGCCGGAAGGCUGAACCAGCCAUGCCGCGUGAAGGUCAGUGCCCUAUGGGCGUUAAACUUCUUUUGUGCGGGAGCAAUAAUGGUCACGUGUGGCCAGACGAGAGUACCGUACGAAUAAGCAUCGGCUAACUCCGUGCCAGCAGCCGCGGUAAUACGGGGGAUGCAAGCGUUAUCCGGAUUUAUUGGGUUUAAAGGGUGCGUAGGCUGUGAGGUAAGUCAGCGGUGAAAUGCCCCCGCGCAACGGGGUGAAGUGCCAUUGAUACUGCCUGGCUGGAAUGCGGAUGCCGUGGGAGGAAUGUGUGGUGUAGCGGUGAAAUGCAUAGAUAUCACACAGAACACCGAUUGCGAAGGCAUCUCACGAAUCCGCGAUUGACGCUGAGGCACGAAAGCGUGGGUAUCAAACAGGAUUAGAUACCCUUGUAGUC